CUACGGGAUGCAGCAGUGAGGAAUAUUGCACAAUGGGGGGAACCCUGAUGCAGCAACGCCGCGUGGAGGAUGACGCAUUUCGGUGUGUAAACUCCUUUUAUAUGUCAAGAAAAUGACGGUAGCAUAUGAAUAGGCACCGGCUAACUCCGUGCCAGCAGCCGCGGUAAUACGGAGGGUGCAAGCGUUACUCGGAAUCACUGGGCGUAAAGGACGCGUAGGCGGGUUGGAAAGUCAGGUGUGAAAUCCUACAGCUUAACUGUAGAACUGCACUUGAAACUUCUAAUCUAGAGUAUGGGAGGGGGAGAUGGAAUUAGUGGUGUAGGGGUAAACUCCGUAGAUAUCACUAGGAAUACCUAAAGCGAAGGCGAUCUCCUGGAACAUUACUGACGCUAAGGCGUGAAAGCGUGGGGAGCAAACAGGAUUAGAUACCCCGGUAGUC
rnacentral:rRNA from 1 species